GGGUCAGUAGGUUGGUCGUGCCACCGGUACGUACUGGUCUCACUGAUUCCUCCUUCCUGAAGAACCGUAAUGCCAUUAAUUUGGUGUUGCGGGGAAACAGGACUGUUACUUUGAAAAAAUUAGAGUGUUUAUAGCAAGCUAACGCUUGAAUACAUUAGCAUGGAAUAAUGAAAUAGGACGAUCGAUCCUAUUUUGUUGGUUCCUAGGAUUGACGUA
rnacentral:rRNA from 1 species